rnacentral:rRNA from 1 species
AUUGAACGCUGGCGGCAGGCCUAACACAUGCAAGUCGAACGAGUGGCGGACGGGUGAGCAAUGUCUGGGAAACUGCCCGACGGAGGGGGAUAACUACUGGAAACGGUAGCUAAUACCGCAUACCAUCGGAUGUGCCCAGAUUGGAUUAGCUAGCGGGUGGGGUAACGGCUCACCUAGGCGACGAUCCCUAGCUGGUCUGAGAGGAUGACGAGCCACACUGGAACUGAGACACGGGCCAGACUCCUACGGGAGGCAGCAGUAGGUAAUAUUGCACAAUAGGAGCAAGCCUGAUGCAGCCAUGCCGCGUGUAUGAAGAAGGCCUUCGGGUUGUAAAGUACUUUCAGCGAGGAGGCGUUACUCGCAGAGGAAGCACCGGCAAGCUCCGUGCCAGCAGCCGCGGUAAUAC